rnacentral:tRNA from 1 species
GCGCCCGUAGCUCAAUGGAUAGAGCACCAGACUACGGAUCUGGGUGUUGGGGGUUCGAGUCCCUCCGGGCGCGCCA